UGGGGAAUAUUGGACAAUGGGCGAAAGCCUGAUCCAGCAAUGCCGCGUGAGUGAUGAAGGCCUUAGGGUUGUAAAGCUCUUUUACCAGGGAUGAUAAUGACAGUACCUGGAGAAUAAGCUCCGGCUAACUCCGUGCCAGCAGCCGCGGUAAUACGGAGGGAGCUAGCGUUGUUCGGAAUUACUGGGCGUAAAGCGUGCGUAGGCGGUGACUCAAGUCAGAGGUGAAAGCCUGGAGCUCAACUCCAGAACUGCCUUUGAAACUAGGUCGCUAGAAUCUGGGAGAGGUGAGUGGAAUUCCGAGUGUAGAGGUGAAAUUCGUAGAUAUUCGGAAGAACACCAGUGGCGAAGGCGGCUCACUGGACCAGAAUUGACGCUGAGGCACGAAAGCGUGGGGAGCAAACAGG
rnacentral:rRNA from 1 species